CGGGACGUAGCGCAGCCUGGUAGCGCACUAGACUGGGGGUCUAGGGGCCGCUGGUUCAAAUCCAGUCGUCCCGA
rnacentral:tRNA from 1 species